rnacentral:rRNA from 1 species
GAUUAUGGCUCAGAACGAACGCUGGCGGCGCGUCUUAAGCAUGCAAGUCGAACGGCAAGAGGUAGCAAUACCUCCUAGAGUGGCGGACUGGUGAGUAACACGUGGGUGACAUACCCUUCAGAUGGGGAUAGCUAUUAGAAAUAGUAGAUAAUACCGAAUACGAGCACAGGGGUUAGAGAUCUGUGAGGAAAGGAGCUAAGGCUCCGCUGAAGGAAUGGCCUGCGGCCCAUUAGCUAGUUGGUGAGGUAAGAGCCCACCAAGGCGAUGAUGGGUAUCCGGCCUUAGAGGGUGAACGGACACAUUGGGACUGAGAUACGGCCCAGACUCCUACGGGAGGCAGCAGCUAAGAAUAUUCCGCAAUGGACGAAAGUCUGACGGAGCGACGCCGCGUGGAUGAAGAAGGCCGGAAGGUUGUAAAAUCCUUUUGAAACUGAAGAAUAAGCGUUGUAGGGAAUGACAGCGUGGUGACAGUAGGUUUUGAAUAAGCAACGGCUAAUUACGUGCCAGCCGCCGC